AUUCAGCCUAGCUGGAAAGAAAUACGCAGGGACAAUACAUUGGUCUAUGGGAACUAAAGCUUAACCAAGGGAGAUUUUGAUAGGAUACAUGCCCAGGAGCUGGAAUUGCUGGAUCAUAUGAAUCCACUGUCAUGGUAUAAAGUGAAGGACCCAGCAUGUAGAGCUGGCACAGUGCCUGGCAAAAUACAGGAGGAAGUCAAGAGAUUCAAAGCCUGAGAAAGAUUUGAUGCACUAUCGCUGGCUCGAAAAUUGGAGGAGGUCCCAUGGCAAGGAAUGAAGAAGGUCCCUAGGAGAUGAAACUGGCCCCUGGCUGAGAGUCAGCAGGAACCUCAGUCCUACAAUGGCAAGGACCUGCAUUGUGCCAACAAACGGAAUGAGCUUGGAGCCUU